AUGCAGGGCCAGGGCAAAGCGGGGGGGGGGCCCGGCUCUCAGUCCGGCCGCCCCAGCCUCCCGGGGCGUGGGCUGGAGUGGGCUCGCCCCGGUGCUGGCCGCCGCCUGCCCCGCGGCCGGCAGGGCCCGGCGCGGGAACAAUGCGGCCUCUAUCCCCCGAGCAGGCGGGCCGCCUGCAACAUGGCGCCCGGGCCGCGCCGCCUGUGCGCAGGGAGGGCUGGCACCCGGGCUGGCACCCGGGCCGGCCCGGCUCCCGGCGUCCCCCUCGGGCCGGCCGCUGAGUGGCCAGACGCUCCUGCUGCCUCCGCCCUCUCCCACUCGGCCGGCCCCCCUUCCCGGUGGUGGGUUUGGGGGUCCGGCCCACCCGCCUCUGCCACGUCUGCCAUCCUCCCGGCACCCAUGAGCAUCUUUCAAAAAUUCCCGGUGGGCGGGGCCGAGCCGCAGCGGCCGCCUCUGGCCCCCCCUUCCCCGGGCAGCCAGUGCCAGAUGAGAGCAGGAGACAAAAGUAGCAUUUUCCUCGUCCCCCUGGGCUGGCAGCAGGGCCUCCCUACCGCCACUUGGCUCCUGGCAGCCCUGCCUCCGGGGGCCAGGGUGGCCAAGGCCCAGGCUGCGCCGGCCAGGACCGAGGGACCGAGGGACGGUGGUGGCCGGAGACCAGGCGCCCGAGGGCCUGCGGGACCGGGGCUGGGCCCCCCCCCCCCCGGGCCAGCGGGACCUGCCCUCCUCCGCUUGCCACGGGGACCGGCCGGGCCGGGGACACCGUGUUCGCUUCCCGGCUUCGCGAUGCUGCGCGUCCUCCCGCACCGGAAGGCGGCUGGUCCCAGAGCACCUCGGAGAAAGCGGACGCCUGUCUUGGCCUUUGGAAGACGCUCAAGGACCACGUGGCCGGUCCACGGUCUCUGCCCUGCGCCUCGAGGGCGAGGCAGCCCAGGUCUUGCCCUUCUUGCCGUCCACUUCGCCCCCAGCCGACGCCUGGAGCUUGAGGUGACUGAGCGCUCUCAGGCCAGCUCGGCCCUGGACCUGCUCGGCUCUGGACCUGCCCAUCUCCGUCAACGCACGAGGCCCCCGUGCCCCAGGUCAAGAAGUGGCGCCAAGGGGGGAGCUUCUGUCCGAGGCCAGCCUUCCUUCCGGCUGGACUUGGCCUGCACGAGCCACGGUCUGUGUCGCAGGGUGUCUGGAUGGAAGAGCAGCACUGGGCCCCGUCUCCCUCUCCGCCCUGAGGACCCGCCGUUCCUGGCUCCCAGGCAGGUGCGCCUGCCCCCUCCCAACCCCAGGCUCACCCUGCCCCCUUCUCUCCACCCGGCCGGGCGCCAGCCCUCGACCUGCUGCCAGCUGUCAACAUGCGACGCACACAGGGAGCAGCCGCGGCUGUGUUUGUCAGGACCGGACACCAGAGCUCCCUCUGCAGUCGUGGGUGAAGCCGAGCCCAGGAGAGCCCCUCGCCCCCGCCCUGACGGGGCCCCCUCCGAGCCUUGGUUUCCUCGUGUGAGGUGGGUUCACGGAUCCUGGCUUCACCAGGCCUUCAAGGACCAGGGAGCCAGCACACCUGGUGCCUGCCUGGAGGAGGCAGCCUGCUCGGAAGGAGUGUGGGAGGAGGCGUGGGUGUCAGAAAGCGUGGUGUGA
ensembl:lncRNA